rnacentral:rRNA from 1 species
AUUGAACGCUGGCGGCAUGCCUUACACAUGCAAGUCGAACGGCAGCAUAGGAGCUUGCUCCUGAUGGCGAGUGGCGAACGGGUGAGUAAUAUAUCGGAACGUGCCCUAGAGUGGGGGAUAACUAGUCGAAAGACUAGCUAAUACCGCAUACGAUCUACGGAUGAAAGUGGGGGAUCGCAAGACCUCAUGCUCCUGGAGCGGCCGAUAUCUGAUUAGCUAGUUGGUGGGGUAAAAGCUCACCAAGGCGACGAUCAGUAGCUGGUCUGAGAGGACGACCAGCCACACUGGGACUGAGACACGGCCCAGACUCCUACGGGAGGCAGCAGUGGGGAAUUUUGGACAAUGGGGGCAACCCUGAUCCAGCAAUGCCGCGUGAGUGAAGAAGGCCUUCGGGUUGUAAAGCUCUUUUGUCAGGGAAGAAACGGUUCUGGAUAAUACCUGGGACUAAUGACGGUACCUGAAGAAUAAGCACCGGCUAACUACGUGCCAGCCGCCGCCGCCA